CAGUGUCUGAGGAAGGAAGAAAUUCAAAAUUAACUCCAGCGAGACACAGAUCUUAUCAAAAGCUGAAUUUGGGGGACUGAAAGUACAAAUAAUUAAGCAAUUAUGUUGCAUUCAUUUCCUAGGAAAAUUUUCUGCUAAAGUCAACAGACAAAAUUCUCACUGAAUCACAAUGAGGCCACUCUUAUUUCAAGAAUCUGCCUUCAUGGGUUUUUGCCCAAGAGAGACCUGCCAACAUUUAACGGUCUUAAAAACACAGGCUUAAGCUCUGAGUUGUUGUUAGCAGUUUCUGUUUUCCAGCCUGGAACACAUUUAAAGAGACCAAUUUUUAACAACUGCUGAAAAAUCUGAAAAGUGAGGUCUUUCAUAAUGCAUCCCAAAGCUUUUAGUCACUUACAAAAUUUAAGCCAUGAUCUUUCUGCUUUCCAUUUGGGUUGCUUGGUCCUAUAUGAUGCCCAGCCCUAACACUCCCACUGGGGCAAGGGAAAAUUGCUUUUCUUGUUAAAGCAGACAUUAAAAAAAUAUUAAUUUGAAACACAGAAGAAUAUGGAAGAUACAAGAACAUGAGAACAUACAGAGUUGUUAUUCCAACCAGCAGGUAAAACCACUUGUAUAAUAUAAUUUCUUUUUGCAGCUGGUAGGGGGUGUUAUUAUUAAUGUUUUAUUUGUUGUUUCUUCUUUAAGGAGACAAGUGAAUCACAGCAAAGAGUGUGAGCUCCCAACUGACAAGCUCAGAGGACUUGGAAGGCUGCUGGGGUGUGCAGGAGAGGUGGAAGCAGUAGCUUGAAAUAGAAGGAUUGCACCUGGUACAGUCCAGCCUUCCCCUUGCACAGGUCAUGAACAUUAGCUGAAUGUGCUGCCACUGCAGAUGGACGCAGAGAGCUGGGCUUGUCCUCCCCCUUGGCUGGGGCAGUGGUCCCUGGGAGAUGACUACAACCACAAAACAGCAACAUUGAGGCUACUCUACAGAAGAUGUUUCAUACCAUGUCAGCUCAUGCUCUGGAGAGCAGAGAAACAGAGGAGCCUGAUUCACGAUGUGGUGCACUGUGGAAGUGCCUGAGCAGGGGAUGCAGUCAUAGACAGCACAAGACAUGGGAGGAACCAAAGCAUUCUUCAGUGAUUAUCUAAAUGUGUUGCAGCAACAUAAAAAAAUCCCUGAACGAUUCAUUAAAUAAGCUAAAAAAGACACAAACUGUUUGGAGAGUUGGGAUUGCCAAGGAAUAUGAAGGCAUUGUCACGGAAAAACCUCAUACAUGGAUUCUUCCCUGCGGUACACCCAGGAGAUCCAGACAAGUAUCCUAAGAAUAUACAGUUACAGACAGUACAACGUGAACACGUGGAGACCACAAGGUACUAAAACCUGAGGCUGAAUCCUGUGUUCCCAGAGCCUGCAGGGGUUUGCCAUUAACUCAGAGCGAUGUUUCAGUAUUUGUCACACCUCACAGCAACUAUACCAACAUCCUAAGUGCUUGUUUGGGCCACAGGAAGUUACUGCACCAAAAGCAGAUUCACUCCACAGCAGCAAGGAAGGGGAUACUAAUGAGGUUAAUUCCCGUAUUUUGGGUUACUGUUGGAAGAAAAAAAUAUGAAGAAAAGAAAAAAAAAGCUUUGGGACCCUCAAGACUCUACACAAGCUGUGCUGUCAGGCCAUGAGCCUUGCUCUCCUGUGCUCUGUAACACACAGCUCUGUCAUGCUCAGCUUCAGCAGGAAGGAGAAAUGCCAUGAGGACACAGGGACCCAAACCUUCCCUGCAGCUUUGGAUUUCUGCCUGGACUGCCCCAUGUCCAAGAAGGUGGAAGUGCUGGCUGAGUCUUGCCCCAGCUGUGGCUCUCAGAAGAAUUCUCCCUGGUGAAGUUUCUGAUGGACCAGCAUUUCUGGUGCCAAGGCUGAAGCCUUUCUUUCAGUGGGGCAAAUACUCAGUGCUUGUGUAUUUUCAAACUGGUAUUCUCUGGAUAAAUCUAAACAGUAGUCCAGGCUCAAAAGCUGGAAUACCAGUGUACACCUGAUUUGGAAAUACACUUAGUUAAAUGCUUUCACCCAGGAAGACCUGGAAACAGGCAAGAUGUUUCACAAAACUCAGUGCUGCACUUCUUCAGAUUCCAGUGUCCUCCAGCAGCCAGAUGUGACAGUGCUGGUUUGUUGGGGGUUUUUUAAUCCUCCUGCAGAUUAAAUUCUAAUUUAACCCUAAACUCUGCUAAUUUAAUUAACAUUCAAAAGCCCCACAUGUUUGUGUUCCCUCCUUGUUCCCUGUAUGUUACAGGCACAGAGUGCUACAGCAAAGCAAAUCUCACUGCAAGGACUGCAUAUAAUGUCAAGAGGUUUGGUAAGCACAGUUAAAAGCGGAGACCUCCCUGGAGCACCACUGUGAUAACAAGGCAAGGCAUCUUUAUGUUUUUGAAAGCAAAGAAAGCCAAACAAAAAGUUAUAAAGCCCUUUGUUCUCAAAGAGGUCAUCAAACAUCUCUCUGGGUAUCCACACAAGACUAGCUUGCAUGAAGUCCAUUAAAUGUGAUGAAAACUGCACAUAACUCUCACUAGAGGAAAAAUGAUUCCUGUUUCUCUUGUUUGAAUAUGCUGCAUACUACACUGCUGAAACAGAGGCUUUUCCCAUGACUGCUGCACAGGCAGCCCCAUCUAUGGGGCUCAGAGACUUGGGAUAGCAACAAAGUUUGGAUAGGGAAGAAAUAGGCAUUUAAUUCACCAGUGUAUUUACUUAUUAACAUAAACUUAUGAGCACCAGCAUUUGUUAAUUAUAACCAGAUUUGCCCUGUAAGCCCUCACUCUAAACUGCAUCCCAAAGCUUCAAGGAAGCAUCUUUAGACAGACAGCUGCAGGUUUGCUCAAAUAUGACAAAUUGUUAAUUCUGUACAGAGGAAGGGCUUAAACACAGCAGCCUUCCUGUAGGUGCUGUAAGAAUGACAAAAGCACAGAUCAAGUAGGAUUUUAAUGGAAUUUGAAAUGCUUGGGGCCAGAAGUUGAAUUUUACAAUUUAACAAUCCGAACUUGUAGUUCUGAGAGUGCCAGGCUCAAUCCACCAUCCACUCUUAGACAGGACCUUUAUCCAAGCACAGACCAUCGCAGAGCUGAGUAAGAUAUCCUUUGUACAGACCACAAAAUACACAAGUAACACGAGUUUCCUCAAAGUCAGUACAACCUCUAGCACCCUCAAGGAGAGCUUUGUGCUUAAACACUUCUUGAACCAGGACAUGGGCUACUGGGUGCUUCAUACCCACUCUGCCUUCACAGCAGAACACACUUGUAAUGAAACUCUGUUGAACUUAUGAAAUUAUAAUCAGAAAAAGAAAGUACAGCAAACUGCACCACUGCCCUUCACUUCUUGCUGCUAACAAAGCUAACAUGCAUUUUAAUGUAUGAAUUUACAAAAGUGACUUGCCAACACAUUGGUUCCACUGGUAAUG